AUUGAACGCUGGCGGCAGGCCUAACACAUUCAAGUCGAGCGAGCGGCGGACGGGUGAGUAAUCUCUGGGAAACUGCCUGAUGGAGGUGGAUAACUACUGGAAACGGUAGCUAAUACCGCAUACCAUCAGAUGUGCCCAGAUGGGAUUAGCUAGUAGGUGUGGUGACGGCUCACCUAGGCGACGAUCCCUAGCUGGUCUGAGAGUAUGACCAGCCACACUGGAACUGCAACACGGGCCAGACUCCUACGGGAGGCAGCAGUGGGGAAUAUUGCACAAUGGGCGCAAGCCUGAUGCAGAAACGCAGCGUGUGUGAAGAAGGGCUUCGGGUUGUAAAGCACUUUCAGCGGGGAGGCGUUACCCGCAGAAGAAGCAACGGCUAACUACGUGCCAGCAGCCGCGGUAAUAC
rnacentral:rRNA from 1 species